rnacentral:rRNA from 1 species
CCAGGUUGAUUCUGCCUGACGUAGACGCUAUUCCCUAAGAUUAACCCAUGCAUGUUAUUGAUUUUUGAGAAAUGGACUGCUCAGUAAUACUCACUUUAUUUUAUGUAUACUUAUUAUAACUACGUUAAAGUGUAGAUAAAAUGUAUACAGUAAGAGUGAGACCUAUCAGCUAGUUGUUAAGGUAAUGGCUUAACAAGGCAGUGACGGGUAACGGUAUUACUUUGUAAUAUUCCGGAGAAGGAGCCUGAGAGACGGCUACUAAGUCUAAGGAUUGCAGCAGGGGCGAAACUUGACCUAUGGAUUUUAUCUGAGGCAGUUAUGGGAAGUAAUAUUAUAUUGUUUCAUAUUUUAAAAGUAUAUGAGGUGAUUAAUUGGAGGGCAAAUCAAGUGCCAGCAGCCGCGGUAAUACUUGUUCCAAGAGUGUGUAUGAUGAUUGAUGCAGUUAAAAAGUCCGUAGUUUAUUUUUAAGAAGCAAUAUGAGGUGUACUGUAUAGUUGGGAGAGAGAUGAAAUGUGACGACCCUGACUGGACGAACA